CUCUGGCUGGCUGCCACUCCUCCCAGCAGAUCUGUGCCUGUGGUAGUGGUGUAUGUUGUCGGUUGAGUCCGGCCCCCUCUCUCUCCUCAGAUGGAGGAGUGAAGCUCACUGACACACAUACAGACGCAACAAGCCACAGGCAGGCACGCUACCAGACAGACCGGCAGACAGGUAAGCAGGAGGCAGGCACCAUGACGCAAACAGGGGACAGACUCAGCUCUGUGACAACAGAUGCCUCCCACAGAACUGAACACUGAAGUUUACUUUGAGAGCCUCAGUGGAGCUGGAAUAAGCAGAAAAUAAGACAAAUAACAAGACGGGAUGAGGAGUUCUUGACUGCUGUUUUUUAUGCUGAGGAGGUGGGGGUAUUUUACACACUUUUUCUGUAGUUGCUGAACCUGUGGAAUUACAUCUAUGAGUCAGGGGAGGACUAAAGCCAGCAUGGUAUUCAGCUGGCAGAAGUCCUUUGCCAUCCUGAACCCCUGGAGGAAAGGGAAGGGGGACAAUGUGCUGGAUAAUGAGGUUGUCUUGACCAAGAUGAAGCUCUUCAACAACUUCCAUGAGAAGCUCCUCAACAACACUGAUGAUUCUUCAUCCACUAUCUCCAUGUCAGUAUCUGAGCAGGACAUCUCAGAGCCUGUCAAAGGCUUGAAGGGGAAUGCUGAUCUGGAUAACAUGCCUGGAAAGCCCCUGAUGGAGUCAAACUCAGGCUACCUCUCUGACAUUUUCUCAGACUCUCAGCUUCCCAUGCUGUACAAGUUUGAGUCGGAGGACUCUGGAGUGGAACUGCCCAGUGGAACCAACUCUCCCUCCACACCCACCGGCUCAGAGCAGAGCUUUGUGGUCCACAGCCGGGAACCCUCCUAUGACUCCUGUAACCUCAAUACUCCUGUCCCUACCCCAGGUCCACUCCUCACCAUUGAACAGUGCUCUGACACCAAACAAACAGAGGAUAUAAGAGACACACCAUGUACGACUGUAGACAAUGCUGUGCUGGAGUGUAAUACUGUGGAGUUGGGGGCUGAACUCAACACAGGGGUUGAGAGGGUAGACCUUCAUAUAACUGAGAAGGACAUACAUAUGGAGAGGGCCCAACACAGGGCCUUGAAGGACACUGCUGAGGACAGUGACAGGGUUUCAGAGGAGCUGGGUGAGAACAGGGCUGUGACUGACGGGAUCAACUCAGCGAACACAAGGUCCAAGAGCCAGUGCUCUACAGGGGCCUGUGAUGAUAUGACAGGAGUUAACUUUGAGCAGCGGCCUCUGAGGAAAAGCACGACGAGCGACAGCCUAGAGGAGUAUAUGGAGGAAUGCUGUCGACUGAGUGAGGUGCACCAGGCCAGCUCCAACCCCCUGGGCUCCGGACUGGGCUACCUGGAGCACAUCUGCCAGCUCAUUGAGAAGAUUGGGCAGCUCCAGGAACACAACCUAAGGCUGCAGAAGCAAAUCUGUGGGCUGCAAAAGGAUGGAAGGAUGACCAAGACCAAAGAGGACUUCUUCCUGCAGCACUGUAGCUGUGGAACGGCCGGCCUGGCCUUCCAUGAACAGAAAAGACACUCUAGGAGUGAGUUCCUGACCACCUCCGUGAGCGGCACACUCUCUGACCUCUCCACCAUCCCUGAGGUCACACACCACACAGGACUCACAGCCAGGGGAGGUCAGUUAACUACUUAAUAACAUGAUAACAACCCAUAAUCUACAUCCAGGCAUCUCUCCUCACUCAAAAUCCAAUGGAUAUUCCAUAAAUUCUCCAAAAGUAAUUUUGUCCCAGUUUGACUGUAAUCUCAUCAGAUGUUUCCAGCCCAAUCCUUUUGUUUCCCUCAGAAAACCAUAGUGUAUUAUUUCAUUGGCAGGUAGAUUAGCACUUCAUAACCUGCUCCUGCGGUAAUCAUUCAGUCACAAGACCAAUUUAUAGUAAUGUUUGCCCAAAGUUUUCCUGAAAUGGAUUUUCUGGGUUUAUUUAAAAAUCAUUAGGGGUUUUCAAAAUGUGACCGGGCGACGACCCCAGGUGUGAUUUCGCCCAAUGUUCACUUUUUCAUCAUGUUUUUACUGUCCUGUUUUCAGAGUGGCUCACGUUCCCUCAGGUGGGCUGACUAUUAUUAUCUACUUUUAUUUAUUCAGGGAAGACCAAUUGAAACCAGUGUCUCAUUUGUAAUGGUGCCCUGAGGACAGAGAUUCCAUCAACACAACAACAAAAGAUAAGACACAAGAUAGCUAUGAAUACAUUACAUCAGGUUAUUACAACAAGUUAUAAUAGUCCAUUGAAAUGAUUGCACACUUCAGUAAACUAAUUUAACAACAGAGUUUUAAACAUCCUUAUAGGCAUCAGGGAAUCCAGGUGUAAUUUGUUUUGUAAGAUAUUCCGUAACUGUGGUGCGUUAAAACUAAAGGCAGAUUUAAACUUUAUGAAUACAAGCUGGAUCUCAAGAGUUAACGAACACUGCGACAGGACACAAUGUGUGCUCUCUCAUGGUGUCAAGUCUAGUUGCCACUAUAUUACGAAAGGUGUACCGCAAGGGUUGGUAUUGGGACCUGUUCUCUUCACUAUUUACAUAAAUAAUAUUGGUCUAUGCAAUCCUGUAAUAUUCAUCACUAUGCAGACAAUACGGUUAUGUAUGCCAUUGCACUGAGUGUUGUCUGAGCUAUGUUAGAGCUGCAAUCUGAUUUUGUUGCAUUACAGAAAGCCCUCGUUGAUUUAAAACGUGUACUUAAUGCGGGCAAAACUAAAUAUAUGUUGUUCUUUAAUUCACAAAAAAAAUCUCGAAAGGGCUACAUAUUCACUCAUUGGACAGCUCUCUCAUCAAGCGGGUUCCAGCCUACAAAAAUCUGUGCGUUUGGAUUGAUAAAGAUCUAAUGUUCAAAAAAACAUACUGAUGAGGUAGUUAAAUGGAGGGAACAUAUAGAGUCCCAUAGAUUCAGGAAUUUCUUGCUCUUCCGAUAAGCAGGAUUCAGGAAAUUGGAGCUGGGGAGUAGGAGGAUGGCGAAUGGUACUGCGAUAACAGAUUGAGGACGUGGGGAGGUUGAGUGGGCAGUGGCGGCAGGUUGAAAGAAGGGGUUCCUCUGGGACUGCUGAUUCACAUCACCAUGUGUCAUAACAGUUUCCCCCCACUAUGAGCAGCGAGUGGUUCCAACCCUUGUGACUCUAGCCUCAUUUAUACCUGGCGCUAACAUGCGUCCUUUGUCCUGAUCUUGCCCACAUUCUGACUGUGCCCACAUUUUCAGAAAUAUGUCUACACAUGGUAUUAAAAUGUGUCUCACUGUGUUUGCAUUGUGAUCCACUAUUCUUUAAAAAAUGUAAGUAUUUAUUUAUUUUAAGACCCAUAUUGAUGCCAUAAGUCAAAUGGUGCCACCUGUCAAUGAGUUAAGAAGGUGGGAUAAUGAUGAAUUAAACUGUUUCACUGUCCAGGUCCGUCUACACUUGUAAUGUUUCCAGACACAAUGCGUGCCUGACUACCUUCGUAGGUGGUCAGAAAAAUCACAAUCAGAUCACAAUGCGUAUUUUAAUCAUCUCCAGUCUACACUGGUCUGAAAAUGUGGGCACAAUCAGAAUGUGGACAAGAUCAGAACAAAGUAUGCAUGCUAGAACCAGGUAUAAACAGAUCUUCUGAUUCAUUUAUUCUCUCUCUCUAUAGAGAGUGACCAGGGUGGAUGCCAGCCCCUGGUGCCCCUUUGGAAGAGGGGCCUGAAUCGGAUGAGCUACACAGAGGGAGAUACGCGCUCCUAUCUAUCUGACAGUACAGAGGGUCUCUCUGCCCCACACAGACGGCUGAGUGAGAACUACACGUGGGGCAGAGUGAAGGAUCUGGUGAAGAAGACCAAGCUGAGGAACCAGAGCAGACUGGGACAAACAUCCACCUCCCUCAAGAGAUCCUGUCCACAGCUUUACCGCCCUGACCUGGGACCAGUGGACCUACCAGGAAGAAACAGGAACUCCAUGAUCGCCUUGGGCCAUCAGAACAAACUGGACUUCCAGUGGCCCAGAUAACCAUUGUUGAUAUGAAACAGACGGCCCGAAGUGGGAAGAGAAUGCCCGGAAGGUGAAGUUGCACAGAUUCUCGACUGGACUGAGAGAGUAGUGUGUAAGGAGGGAUGUGAGAAAUAACAUUUGUGAUGGAUGACAAAACUUUGAGUGAGGAGUGAAAAGAAAACAAAAAGAGGGAUGGUCAUAGACAUCUCUCUUGAGAUACAAUUCUAAACUAAGGGAUUGUAUUGUUUCAGAUAAGGGAACAUUGGUAUUUAUAUGAGAACAGACAUGCAUGUACUCCACAAUGAACAUGAAUACGAUACAAAUGAUUUAAUCUUGUACUAUAAAUUCAUAUUGUAAUGCUUUCUCUAAAUAUGUGUUAUGUUAGUGACAUUUCAGUACUAUGUGUUGAUGGAGAAAACAACAACUCUUUGACAUGGUUGUUCCAACUAAGAAAUAGCCUAGACAAUAUUCUGGGGUGAAAUUAAAGGGAUAGUUCACCCAAAUUACAAAAUGACAUUGGUUUCCUUACACUGUAAGCCGUCUAUGGACAAGCUAUGGCAGCAAUGCAUCCUUUGGUUUAGUUUCCCUGCCACUGUUUCAACAUGCUAGCAUUUUAGCAUUUGUGGCACAAAUCCCAUUCAAGUCACGGGACCGAUAUUAUUCGCGCAUCAUGCCCAAAUCAAUACAUGAUUUAAAUUCUAGAUAAGAGCGUUUGCUAAAUGACUAAAAUGAAAAUGUAAAUGUAAAAAUCAUUUGAAAGUAUCUAAAGUCGCUUGUCAAACUCAACAAAGUCACAUAGAUUAUUUGAACAUGAUGCUUGAAAAAUAUUAAUUUCGGUCCCAUGACAGGGUAAGGAAACCAAUAUGUAAUUUGGUGUUUGGGUGAACUAAUCGCUUUGGUUAUCAUGCCCCCUUGAACAAAUGUGAAACAUACACAUAUCAUACAUAUUUGAGGAUUGUACUUAACUAUUCAACACAUUUUGUAUGAAUUCUCUUCUUGUUUUGAGUGUAGGCCUAAGAGGCUGUGUGUGCAUGCACUAUACAGGGAUAAUAGAUCGUGGUGAUGUUGUGUGAAUGUGCUGUAUAUAACAAAAGGUAAUUGUGUACAGUCACCGUGUAUGUACAGGAGGGGAGUUAUGCCUCUGUAAAUUCCUAUGUUUAUAUGAUGGAAAUUUACUUUUUUUUUUACUUUUUGGAGAUAGGGGUUCCAGAUCCCUUAUGAUAAAAAAAAAACACUUUGAGGAUGCUAGAAAACGUUUGUGAUGCAUUGCCGCAAGGUUUUUUAAUGUUCCUCUCAAACAUUUAUGUAAAAAAAAAAAACAGCAAAGAAAAAAAACAAUUUCGCAUCACUGCAACAUGUACAGUAUUUUAUCAGAGGCUGCUGUUGCAUAUGUUCAUCUUCAAGGCAUUUUUUAUUUUAUUGUGACAUGCAAGUCUGGUUUGACAAGCUAACGGUGAUUUUAGCUUUUCUACAUCACGGUUACAUUCCCUGGUUUUCCAGAAAUCCUGGUUGGAAUAUUCCCGUAUUUCCUGCUUUUCCCUCGUAAUGCCAUGAAUCUUCCCAACAGGCUUCCUUGAAAAAUUGGGAAUUUUGGGAAAGCUACUGGAAUUUUGCAACCUUAGUUACGUCACUAUGAGCUUCCUUUGAUAACAGACAGGCAAGUGCCAUGGUACCUUGGAAAUCUCACUGGGUAAAACUACAGAAGGAAGGUUCAACACAGAAGCUUUGAAAAGGAUGAUUACAAUGGCUUCAAAGCCUGGACAUCUAAUUGAAAUACAGCAGAGGUCAAUUCCAAAUGCUCAAAACUGUCCAGUGUUGUUUACAACAGGAAUGGAGGUCAUCACAUUUUUAGAAAAUACUAAUCCCACAGAAAGAACAAAACAGUUAGUUAUCCAAGUAUGUACUUCAGCAAUGUGAACAACAGUAUAGUACAACACCAAUGAGUUAUUCAUCAUGGUCAACGUGUACUCCUAUUAAAAUAAUAAUGUACUCUGUAGUACUGUACACGUAGCACAGCUGUGGCUGUAUCAUACGGAAUUCAUGUACUUCUAAAUACUCUAAUCAAGUAGAAAAUACAUCUGUUGCAACUUGAGAGGCAGUAAAUGCUGUCAAUAUGCAUGAUAGGCCUACAUGUUUUGUCAGGACUGGGAUCUAAAGACUAAAGAUUGUUAUAUCUGUAUAUUGUAGAGUCACAGUAAGUUGUACAUGGAUGGAAUAUCUCAAUAUGUGUAAUGUAUCAUUAUUCAAAGUUAUUUUUCGAAAUAAAGUUGACAUUUUCAAUGACA
ensembl:lncRNA